AAAGGUCAAGCCGCAUAAUAGAUUUAUAGCCUUUUUUAACAUUAAAAAAAUUGUAUAAAAUCAAAAGGUGGGUUUUUGGAAAAAAUAAGCUUUGUGUUAUGUGUGGGGCAGUUAGAUGGGUUCAUCACACGUGUUUUGAUAUGGGUAGGUCAAAAGGUCAAGCCGCAUAAUAGAUUUAUAGCCUUUUUUAACAUUAAAUAAAUAGUAUAAAAUCAAAAGGUGGGUUUUUGGAAAAAAUAAGCUUUGUCUUAUGUGUGGGGCAGUUAAAUGGGUUCAUCACACGUGUUUU
ensembl:lncRNA